rnacentral:misc_RNA from 1 species
UUAAGUUCAGCGGGUAGUCCUACCUGAUUUGAGGUCAAAUAGUCAUAUAAUUGUCCCUAAUAAAGGACGGUUGGAAGCAGAAAUCCCAUUACAAAGUGCGGUCCCAUGCUGCGGCGUAGAUAAUUAUCACACCAAUAGACGGGGUCCACAAGGGUUUUCCGGCUAAUUCAUUUAAGGGGAGCCGACUUCAAAAAGGUUGA